rnacentral:rRNA from 1 species
AACGAACGCUGGCGGCAUGCCUAACACAUGCAAGUCGAACGAGGGUUUUCUCUUCGGAGGGGCCCUAGUGGCGCACGGGUGAGUAACACGUGGGAACCUGCCUUAUGGUUCGGGAUAACGUCUGGAAACGGACGCUAACACCGGAUGUGCCCUUCCCAGCGAUGGGAUGGGGAAAGUUUACGCCGUGAGAGGGGCCCGCGCCCGAUUAGGUAGUUGGUGGGGUAACGGCCUACCAAGCCGACGAUCGGUAGCUGGUCUGAGAGGAUGAUCAGCCACACUGGGACUGAGACACGGCCCAGACUCCUACGGGAGGCAGCAGUGGGGAAUAUUGGACAAUGGGGGCAACCCUGAUCCAGCAAUGCCGCGUGAGUGAUGAAGGCCUUCGGGUUGUAAAGCUCUUUCGCACGCGACGAUGAUGACGGUAGCGUGAGAAGAAGCCCCGGCUAACUUCGUGCCAGCCGCCGCGGUAA